CGUGUAUCAAUUAUUUUAUAAAAUAGAAAAUCAUUCCUUUGAAAAAUAUUUUCCUCAAAAUACGGCAUACUCUCCUAUUCUCCAAGGCGUCUCAAUUACAGAUACGCAUAAAAAUAUUAUUAAACAAUACAAAAUGUAUAGACAAAAUAUGAUCAAAUAAUAUAAAAAUGAUACUUUUGUAUCUCUCUAAUUUCCAUCAAUGUCGUAUACACAUAUAGACGCACAAGCAUAUCCAAUUUAUUGUAACACACUCGAUUCUACACGUGUCAACGAUUAUCCCUCGGCAUCGUCGCGUAAAAGAUCCAUCCGUAGAAGAAAAAGAAGGAAAAGAAGAAGGAGAGGAAGAAUCCACCUCGAAAGGUUUCCUCCCUCCCGGAUUUCUUCCUUCCAAGACUUUUCGUCCUCGUACGUCUGGAUAACGAGCAGCCGAUAAGACGAUCCCAACGAGCGUUUCCUUUGUCAGCACCCGUCGAAUUCCUCCCCUUUCCUCGGGGAUAUACGGAGGGAUUUCUCGGGGAUCUUCGUGGAAUUCACGCGGCUACGGGUUUCUUUCGUGGAGAGAAACGCGGGGAAUGCCGGUGGACGCGUCUUAAUCCGAGUCGACUGCCCUCCCUUUAAGAGGAGACGGGUUUUCUCCAAUCGAUUGUCGGUUUUUUGCGCCCGUUAGUAGAGACGUAUUUGAAUGGGUUUGUGAAGUGAUUUGAGAUUCUUAUCAUAGGAGAGGGUUUACUUUUAUGUAAUUUUUUCUUUGACGUAGUUUGAAUAGGUUUAAGAUUUUUAAGAGUUUGAGUUUUUUUUUUCAAGCUCUGUGAGAGUUAUUUUCAAGUGGAUCAAUUAAUUGUUCAAUUGGAUAGUGCAUACGUUUUUUUCAGGAAUUGCUUUGAUCGUGAAUUUUGCUUUUAUCUCUGAUUCUUUAUGGUAAUAGAAAUGAAUAGUUUUGACGUAUGAAUUAUAAACGAGAUUAGAUAUCAAUUGUUUUAAAAAUUAACUGCAGUAAGAGAGUUAAUGAUCUUAGGAGUUAUAUAUACUUGUUUGACAAGUAGUGAAGUUGUUUCGACGUAUAAAUUUUAUUUUGUAUAAAAAAAAUCGGUUAAGGUUAUUAUUAUAAUAAAAAAAUAUAGUACAAGCGAUAAAGUUAGUCUUUAUUGUUUUUAAACAAGUUUUUUUUAUGCGAUAGAAUGACCUGGUUUAUCAAGCAACUCAUCGGAUAGUUUUGACUUACAUCAACUACGUAGUUUAAUAAAGAACCGGUGCUACUCGAUGAAUCGUGUAUCUCUUAUCGAGUUGGCGAACGAGCAUGUUAUAACGUCGAUAAAAAAAUGUUGGGAGAAAAAAAAUGGUCGUUGCAGACGAUAGAAAUGCGGAACGUGCUCUGAAAACUAGUUUGCAUAAAUGACUAGCCCCGAUUAGAUAGAGAAUUACGUGGACGUGUUUGUCGAAGCCAGGUUUUAUCGACGACUCGACAUCCGUCGUUCGUUUCUUGUUAUUUUCACGAUUUCUUUCUCUUGGAAGAAUGAAAAAUAUUUUCAGUUGUCCCUGUGGAAACUUACUGGCGACUCACUGAUAUUUUCUAUGACAAUUUUUUAAGGUAAAGUGAAUUUUUGAUCGAAUUAGAUUGAAUAUAGAUUUGCAUUCAAAUUUUUAAAUUUUAUAUCGAGACUCAGAAUCUUCCCAAGAUUUAAUUUCUUUCUUCUAUUAAAUCUCUUCCUGUAACUUUAUCAAUUUCUUUAUUGUAUCAUACAUUAUUUUGACUAUCAUUAUUUUUACAUCGAGUUAUCAUAGUCAAUUUUUACUCAUCGUUAUCGUUCCAUGUUAAAAUUAUACAAAUGAGAAAAUCGUUUAUUGAAGUUAAAAGACGCAUUGCAAGAUUAAAGAAAACCAGACAGAAAAAGAUUUGCAUUUGUUAUUACAAAAGAUUGUGAUUCUAAGCAUUCGUUGUGUAAUCAGAAGUGUUCUUCUAACGAAAACUGAUGUGCAAUCUGCAUCUCAUGAAUAUUAAUCAAUCGUGCGUUGAAAUAUAAAUAAACAACGAAUUAUCAUUGAUAUUUCCAUGAUGGUAUAUCUCAAUAUAUCAAAUUUUUAUAUUUUUUUUUUUAAAUUCUAAAUUAAAAAUUUUUCUCUAAUCUUUUAAUUAUUGAAUUAUUUCAUCAAAUUGCUGAAAUUUAAUAUUUCUGAAAGAAGAGGGAUAGUUUUAUAAAAUUUGAAAUAACGUGGCUAUAUUAUAGAUCUAGAUCUAUAAUAUCUUUAACAAAAUUUCAUUCUCUCAUAACUCGGUUUAAAAAUAUAUUUAUUCAAAAAUUAACAAAAAUAUAAAUACUUUAAAUAGUUUCAAACUUGAUUAACAAUUAAAACCGACGAUUUGUCGACGGAUAAAACAAAAUCUUAUAAAUUGAACUUAAUACUUUCACCAUUUUUUAUCUCUCUUCUACCUUAUUCUACAUUUCCGCAAAAAUCGAAUCAAAGGAAAAGAAAAAUAAAAGGAGCAACGAGAUAAUAAUUCCCUAUAAAAUCACUCCUCACGCUUCAACGGUGGAGAAUAUACAUUCUCCACCGAACCCUCCGAUCGAGCCACGCCAAAACUGCCCGCCAUCUCCCUUACACCCACAUCUAAAUCCACCACUCUCCCACGCGAGCAAACGUCGGACAGGCCAACGAUGAUCGAUCAUCGAGGGUGGCAGAAAUUAGGUUAUUCGGCCGUGGCCGUCUCCAAGGGGUGUGCAAGGAUCGACCCUCGUCGGGCGUCGAAUUUUUCAACUCCCCCCCUCUCCCCAUGAAAGAUUCGCGGCUGAAACGAGGCGGGGAGGGGGUUUCCUCGUGUCUAACACGGGCGUGGUUGGCGCACCGGAACUCGGCCAGACGAGUUCGCGAUUCGCCGGGGCCCUGUCCGACGGAAAUUUACGUCCCUGGUCCCUGGGCUAAAAGCCACGAUAAGCGAUAGGAGGAGGCUGGCGCGGAGAUUACGCGCGUUAAGAAUUCAACCGUAUCGGUCUCGAAACAGGAGGGGAGGAGGAGGAGGAGGAGGAGGAUCGGGGCAACUUUUCGCGCUCUCGUGAAAGGUUUAUUUAAUCACUUGCUCGACGGAGGUUGUUUCUUUGGGUUUUCGCUUGGAAUUAUUGGCUGGAUUUUAUCGAUUUUCGGCGCCUGGUACCGGCUCCAUUUCCCCCUUACGAGCAGAUUUAUCCGUUUCGCUGUUGAUGUUUAUUUUAUGGAUUUUGUCCUGAUAUAUUUUUAAUUUUCAACUUUAAUCGAGGGAGUAUCGGUCAAGUUCAAGUCGAGGAUAAAAAUAAAUGUAAUUAGAAUCGUGAAGAUUAUCAACAGUAUAUCGCAGUUGUAAAUAUUCCAAGAAAUUGUAUUUAUAUUACUACUUCAUUGUAAUCUUGCAUUAUUCUAAGAUCUCGAAUAAAAUGCUAAUAGCCAUUUUACCAAACAAUGAUGCAUCCAAAGAA